rnacentral:lncRNA from 1 species
AUGCAGGCCUAAAAGUAGCCUGAGGCUUGCUGUUGGGUGGGGCCACUCCCUAGGGCAGGCUGCCUGCCCUGGCUGAACUGGAUUAAAUCUGUGCUCUAGUGGGCGUGGCAGACCCCUGGGCUAACAGGCCAAGGGAAGAACCUCAAUGGCGCCCACCAGGGUCCCUGUCAGCACGCCUGGGCCAGCUCAGAACAACGGCCCCACCAAUGUCUCAGUCUCAGGAGAGGAUCCUCCUCUCACCAAGAUGCCCCCAGAGCCCACCAGGACGCCUGCCACAGCAUGGCUUUUGCCAAGUGGUGCCAUGUCCGCACCCGGGAUCAGAACUGGAGAACCCCAGGCCGCCGAAGCAGAGCGUGUGCACUUAACCGCUGGGCCACCAGGCCAGCCCCAAAUGGAGGAAUUUUGGACUGAGUGUUCAGAGAGAAAGGAACCCUCCUCUGCCAAGGAUUUGUGCCCUUAUAAAGGAGACCCCAAAGAGCCUCCUUGCCCCUUCUGCCACGUGAGGACAUAGCAAGAAGACGGCUGUCUGUGAACGAGGAAGCACCAGACGCUGCGCCUGCUAGCACUUUGAUCUUGGAUUUCCCAGCCUCGGAACUGUUGGAAAUAAGAGCUCGUUGUUUAAGCCACCCAGUCCAGGGAAGAUUAGCCCUGAGCUGACAUCUGCAGCCAAUCCUCCUCUUUUUGCUGAGGAAAUUUGGCCCUGAGCUAACAUCCAUGCUCAUCUUCCUCUAUUUUGUAUGUGGGAUGCCUGCUACAGGAUUGCUUGGUCUCUCAAGAUUCAAAAUAAAGUUAACUAAAGCUACAUUUCCUUGGUUCAGCACCACCCACAGCAUUUUAGACAGGGUAGUCAAUUUAAAUUUCCUGGGGAUUCACUCACUGAACCCAUGUGCUGAUGAUCAGUCACUUGGACUAUAUGUCAGCAUAUGUCAUGUCCUCUUCUGCUCUCUCCAGGCAUUGCAUGUGGAGCCAUUGAGGCCUGGUUGCUAUGGAAAUUUCCUCCACCAUUCCAAAGGCAAAUGGGGUGCCAUAUCAACCAAUAAAGAGUCAUCAAAUUUAACUGGGACAAAUACGUUUCUUCCAAAAUUGUGAAUCAAAUUUACAAAGCUGCGUAGUGUUAGGCUUUCAGUUGAUUAUAGACACUUCAAUGAUGGUUUUACUUUACCUAUGUAGGUAUGCCUGUGGGAUAGCACCACGUCCUGGAAAUCCUGGCGGGAAUCUGAAAGAUCUAGUAUAAAGAAAAUUUGCAAAGUCACAUAAGCAGAGCAUGUGCAGAAGAAGAAAUAUUGACCUGAAAUGAUCUCGGAACCAAAGAUGCUCCUCCCCAUGGCACCAAAGGACAGGACACGACUGGAACUUAAAAAUUGGACUCAUCAAAAGUGAGGGCUCUGUCAUCUAGGACAAUUCGGUGUUAAAAUUCCUUCCCCAUCUCAUCAUAAGUGUUUAGAACCUCACCAUAAAUGCUUGAGGAGUGUUUAGAACCUUACUGUAAAUGUUU